UUCUAUCUUUACUUGAACUUCACAUAUCAUAUCAUAAUUGGAUCAGCCUACUGGCUAUAUAUAUAUUUGUUACAAAAAAAUAAACCCAAAUUUUUUUUCUUUCGUAAUUUCUCACUACACGUAAUGCAUACUCCUUGUAAUCCCCUGAUAUAUAGUUGAGUGUGUUGUGCUUGAAAAGAAUAUACUUUGUCCUGAUAAUUAUUAUAAUAAUUUUCUUACUCCAUUUGAGGAAAUUGUUGGAUGUGAUCUAUAUGAUUUAUUCAAAGCGAUCCCCAUAAGGAUAAAGCCGAUCCAACGGUUGACAUAUAUUAAUUAUUUACACUUUUGAUGGACGAACGUGAUUAAAACAUUCUUACAUUAGAUUAUAUAUAGAGAGAGUCUGGAUAUGGUGCUUUUAAAAGCACUAAGCACAUGGUGUUUAUUAAUUUUGUAGUAUUAGAUUUAUUCUUUUGACCAAUUCCACUCCCGAGAUUAUGUUAUUCCAUCAAUCACCUACUCAAUCUUAAGGAACCACUCCUAUUCUAACUUUAUAAAUCUUCGACGAAAGGCUGAAAAUCUAUAAAUACCAAUAAUUUGAUACUUUUAUAAACAUAAAAGCUCAAUUCUAUAUAUAUGUAUGUGUGCGUGUAUUAUAACGGAAAUUCCAGUCUAACUGCAAUUCCAAGUUUGUUCAUAUAACGGCCCCAUUUCUGGAGAUAAGAAAAUAGACAGAAAAUAUUUCGCUCUAUUAUAAAUUGUGAAUGAGGACAAAUCACAAGGAAGAACCGAUGAUUAUAAUUUAAUUUUGAAAAUAAAAAAUUAUGAUAGAAAGUGAACAAUUUUAAUAUUCAUAUGGUUUAAUAGAAGUAUCUUUAU
rnacentral:lncRNA from 1 species